UACGAAGGGGGCUAGCGUUGCUCGGAAUUACUGGGCGUAAAGCGCACGUAGGCGGCUUUCUAAGUCGGGGGUGAAAUUCUGGAGCUCAACUCCAGAACUGCCUUCGAUACUGGAGAGCUCGAGUCCGGGAGAGGUGAGUGGAACUGCGAGUGUAGAGGUGAAAUUCGUAGAUAUUCGCAGGAACACCAGUGGCGAAGGCGGCUUACUGGUCCAUAACUGACGCUGAGGUGCGAAAGCGUGGGGAGCAAACAGG
rnacentral:rRNA from 1 species